rnacentral:lncRNA from 1 species
AUGGGCAACGAGGCGAGCCUGGAAGGGGAAGGACUCCCCGAAGGGUUGGCGGCGGCAGCAGCGGCAGCAGCCGGAGGAGGGGCUGGCGGGGCGGGGAGCCCCUUGCACACCGUGAUCCCGGCCGGCAUGGAAGCGGAUCUGAGCCAACUGAGCGAAGAGGAGAGGAGACAGAUCGCUGCUGUCAUGUCAAGGGCGCAGGGGCUGCCCAAAGGAAGCGUUACCCCGGCCGCUGCGGAGCCGCCUUCCAUGCACAGGAAACAAGAGUUGGAUAGUAGUCAACCUCCAAAGCAACCAGGAAAACCACCAGACCCUGGGCGUCCAAUUCAGCCUGGUCUCAGUAAGAGCAGAACUACAGACACUCUGAGGUCAGAGCAGAAAUUGCCUGGAAGAAGUCCUUCCACUAUUAGCUUGAAAGAAUCGAAAUCCAGAACUGAUUUUAAGGACGAGCACAAGUCUAGUAUGAUGCCUGGCUUCCUCUCAGAGGUUAACCCUUUAAGUGCUGUUUCCUCUGUUGUAAAUAAAUUCAAUCCUUUUGAUUUGAUAUCAGACCCUGAUGCCUCCCAGGAAGAAGCCUCCAAGAAACAAAAAAUAGCUCAGAAGGAACAAGGAAAACCUGAGGGAGUCACAAAGCCUCCAUCGCAACAGUCUCCCAAGACAGUUCCUAAGCAGCCAGGACCUGUGAGGGCUCCACUUCAGCAGGAAGGUUCUCCAAAAUCCGGAUCCUCUCAGCCACCAGAAAAAAGUAAAUCACAACCUCCAGAAACAGGAAAGCCAGCUCAGGGCUUCCCCCAGGCUCCUCAGACAGACCAGGCAAAAUUGCCAAUUCAGAGAGAUGUAUCUAGGCCUCAGACUAAACAGACAGACCCAGGAAGGAGUGAGUCGGCUAAACCCUCACUGCAGAGCCCCUCCAAGCCACCUAUUCAGCAAGGAAGUCCUGGAAAAUCUCCAGCCCAGCAGCCUGGACCUGAAAAACGUACCAUACCACAGCCUGGGCCUGCAAAGCCCCUAGCUCAACAACUGGGAACAGCAAAGCCCCUGGCCCAAGCUCCAGGGGCAGCAAAAUCCCUGGCUCACCAGCCCGGGCCACAGUCUCCAGCUCAGCCGCCUGGGCCAGCAAAGGCUCCAGCUCAGCAGGUUGGGACAACAAAGCCUCAGGCCCAGUUGUCUGGGCCAGGCAAGACUCCACCUCAACAGCCUGGCCCAACGAAACCCCCUCCUCAACAGCCUGGCCCAGUGAAGCCCCCUCCUCAACAGCCUGGUCCAGCGAAGCCCCCUCCUCAACAGCCUGGUCCAGCGAAACCCCCUCCUCAACAGCCGGGUCCAGCGAAACCCCCUCCUCAACAGCCUGGUCCAGCGAAGCCCCCUCCUCAACAGCCUGGUCCAGCGAAGCCCCCUCCUCAACAGCCUGGUCCAAUGAAGCCCCCUCCUCAACAGCCAGGCCCAAUGAAGCCCCUUCCUCAACCGCCAGGUUCAGCAAAACCCCCUCCUCAACAGCCAGGCCCAACGAAGCCCCCUCCUCAACAGCCUGGUCCAGCGAAGCCCCCUUCUCAACUGCCAGGCCCAACGAAGCACCCUCCUCAACAGCCAGGACCUGCAAAACCCUCAGCUCAGCAAUCUACAAAACCAGUAAGCCAAACAGGAGCUGGAAAACCUCUACAGCCACCAACGUUUCCAUCUGCAGCACAGACUCCAGUACACGGCCUGCCUAAAACCAUCUGCCCUCUUUGCAAUACCACUGAACUUCUGUUGCAUGUUCCAGAAAAGGCCAAUUUUAACACAUGCACUGAGUGUCAGACCACUGUUUGUAGCCUCUGUGGUUUUAAUCCCAAUCCUCAUUUAACUGAGAUGAAGGAGUGGCUCUGUUUAAACUGUCAGAUGCAGAGAGCUCUAGGAGGUAACCUGGCUCCAAUUCCAUCAUCACCCCAGCCCAAACCGAAGACUACCCCUGUUCCUGCAUCAGCAGUGAGCAAGCCACCCACUCCGUCACAGCAGGUUUCUCCAAAGAAAGAUGCUACACCCAAACAGGAUGUCUCAAAGGUAGCUGAGUCUAAAAAGCCCCCACCGCUAGUGAAACAACCAACCCUUCACAGUCCCCACCCAGUCACAUCCCAGCAGCCUCCUGAGGCAGAGUCCUCAUCCAAGCCAGUCCCUCCCAAAGAGCCUUCUGUCUCAUCUGAACCGGCCAAGGUCUCCAUGGCUGAUGAUAAACCAGAGCAGCCCAAGACAGGAAAGCCAGCCACAGACAUUGUGUCUUCAUCAUCAACAGCAACAAGACCGGAUAUUCCAGGCUCCAAAAUGCCAUCAAAGGAUCAAGAGAAAGGAACUCCUCCUCUAAAACCAGACUCUGCCAAACCUUCUCAGAGUUUUCCACCAACAGGAGAAAAAGUUACCCCGGUAGAUUCUAAAGUCAUACCUCGACCUGCAUCAGAUACAAAAAUUAUUUCACAUCCUGGACCUACUCCAGAGAGCAAAGAUCAGAAACAAGUUGAUCCAGUUCAGAAAAAGGAUGAACCCAAGAAAGCACAAACCAAAAUGAGUCCUAAGCCAGACACCAAGCUGAUGCCAAAAGGGUCACCCACACCCCAGGUUCCACGACCCCCCACUGGACAAACUGCCCCUCUAUCUCCACAGCCCCCAAAGCCUCAGGAGCAGUCGAGACGUUUUAGCCUAAAUCUGGGAAGUAUUACUGAUGCCCCUAAAUCACAGCCCACAACUCCUCAAGAAACAGUGACUGGGAAACUCUUUGGAUUUGGAGCAUCCAUCUUUAGCCAGGCAUCAAAUCUGAUCUCCACAGCAGGCCAGCCUGGGUCUCAUUCACAGGGUGGGCCAGCGGCCCCAAUAAAACAAGUCCCUCCUCCUUCCCAACCACCUACUUCUCAAGGGCCACCCAAAUCCACAGCACCGCCAGUACCUGCAAAGGUUCUGCCUGUGAAAAAGGAAACCAAAGCUCCAGUAAUUGAAAAACUAGAGCCCAAAGCUGAACAAGUUUCGACAGUAAAAAGAACAGAAACAGAAAAGAAGCCUCUGCCUACUAAAGACAGCAAACCAUCCACAGCUGAACCUCAAAAGGUUGUUCUUCCCCCCAAGCUGGAAGAAACCCCCAAACCAGAAUCAGCCUGUCCUCUCUGCAAAACUGAACUCAACAUAGGUUCUAAGGAUCCUGCUAACUUCAACACUUGCACUGAAUGUAAGAAACAAGUGUGUAAUCUCUGUGGAUUUAACCCUACACCGCACUUGACUGAGAUUCAAGAAUGGCUUUGUUUAAAUUGCCAAACCCAGAGAGCAAUAUCAGGACAGCUGGGAGACAUGGGCAAAAUGCCACCUACCCAGGCAGGACCAAAAGCCUCUCCUAUGCCUGUCCCUAUGGAACAACCAUUUCAGGAAACAGCAAUGCCUGCCCCAGUAAAAGUGAAAAAGAAGGAACAAGAAGAAAAACCAGAAGCAGAAAAAACCAUUUCAGAAAAGGUAAAAGAAACGCCUUCAGGUGAAAAAAGUACCCCUACGGAAACCAUAGAUCAAAUCCGAGAAGAGGGUAAAGACAAAACUUCAGCCCCUCAAGAAAAAAAGUCACCCCCUGAAGACAAAAAGCCACCUUCUGAAGACAAAAAGCCACUCCCUGAAGAAGAAAAGCCACCUCUUGAAGAAAAAAAACCAAUCCUUAAAGACAAAAAGCCGGCUCUUGAAGACAAAAAGUUAGCCCCAGCAACAAAAGCAUCGGUUCUAGAGGAAGAACAGAAACGUGACUUACUUAAAACUCAAGUACAAAUUGCUGAAGUAAAAUCUGAAGACAGAGUGCCUCCGGAAGCAGUGGAAGAAAAGAAACAACCGCAGAUGGAGACAGAAGAUUUACCAGCCAGCACACCUCGGCGUUUGCCUAAAGAAGAUGAUGGGAUGACUCAAAAAAUAAAAGUACAGCCACAGGCACCGUGCAUGGCAAAGCCUGAUCAGACGGAAUCUGGAAAGGAAAAAACAGCAAAAGGUUCUCAAACCACAGCAACCUCUGGCACUCAGAAAAAAGUGAAGAGAACUUUGCCAAACCCACCACCUGAAGAGACCUCCACAGGAACCCAGUCAGCCUUUAGCGCAAUGGGCACAGUCUCCAGGAGAAGGAUCUGCCGAACCAAUACGAUGGCCCGAGCCAAGAUUCUCCAGGAUAUAGACAGAGAGCUUGAUCUUGUGGAGAGGGAAUCUGCCAAGCUUAGGAAGAAACAAGCAGAACUUGAUGAGGAAGAAAAGGAGAUUGAUGCUAAGUUACGGUACCUAGAAAUGGGGAUUAACAGGAGGAAAGAGGCCUUAUUAAAGGAGAGAGAAAAGAGAGAGAGAGCCUAUCUCCAGGGAGUAGCUGAGGAUCGUGAUUACAUGUCCGACAGUGAGGUCAGCAGCGCCAGACCAACCCGAAUUGAAAGUCAGCACGGCAUCGAGCGACCAAGAACUGCUCCCCAAACUGAAUUCAACCAGUUUAUUCCACCACAAACCCAAACAGAAUCUCAGCUAGUCCCUCCUACGAGUCCUUAUACCCAGUACCAAUACUCUUCCCCUGCUCUUCCUACUCAAGCACCCACCCCAUACACCCAGCAAUCCCACUUCCAGCAACAGACUCUGUACCAUCAGGAAGUUUCACCUUAUCAGACUCAGCCAACCUUCCAAGCUGUGGCAACAAUGUCUUUCACACCUCAGGCUCAACCUACACCAACCCCACAACCUUCUUAUCAGUUACCAUCACAGAUGAUGGUGAUACAACAAAAGCCACGGCAAACUGCAUUAUAUAUGGAGCCCAAGAUAACUUCAAACUAUGAGGUGAUUCGCAACCAACCCCUGAUGAUAGCACCUGUUUCCACUGAUAAUACAUAUGCUGUUUCCCAUCUCGGUAGUAAGUACAACAGCUUAGAUUUGAGAAUAGGAUUGGAGGAAAGAAGUAGCAUGGCAAGCAGUCCAAUAUCAAGCAUAUCUGCAGAUUCUUUCUAUGCAGAUAUUGACCAUCAUACUUCACGAAAUUAUGUCUUAAUUGAUGACAUUGGUGAGAUUACCAAAGGAACAGCGGCUCUAAGCACUGCAUUUAGCCUUCAUGAAAAAGAUCUGUCAAAAACAGAUCGUCUUCUCCGAACCACUGAGACACGUAGGUCUCAAGAAGUGACAGAUUUCCUAGCACCUCUGCAGACUUCGUCCAGAUUGCAUAGUUACGUGAAAGCAGAGGAGGACCCAAUGGAGGAUCCUUAUGAGUUAAAGCUUCUGAAACAACAGAUUAAACAAGAAUUCCGUAGAGGAGCCGAGAGCUUAGAUCACCUUGCUGGUCUUUCCCAUUAUUACCACGCCGACACUAGUUACAGACAUUUUCCAAAAUCUGAGAAGUACAGCAUUAGUAGACUCACACUUGAAAAACAAGCAGCAAAACAACUACCAGCUGCUAUACUUUAUCAAAAGCAGUCAAAGCAUAAGAAAUCACUAAUUGACCCUAAAAUGUCAAAAUUCUCACCUAUUCAAGAAAGUAGAGACCUUGAACCUGAUUAUUCGAGCUAUAUGACUUCAAGCACUUCAUCUAUUGGUGGCAUUUCUUCCAGGGCAAGGCUUCUUCAAGAUGAUAUUACUUUUGGCCUCAGAAAAAAUAUUACAGACCAACAAAAAUUUAUGGGAUCAUCUCUGGGCACCUUAGGAAAUACCAUACGAUCAGCUCUGCAGGAUGAAGCAGAUAAGCCAUACAGCAGUGGCAGCAGGUCCAGACCUUCUUCCAGACCUUCCUCUGUCUACGGGCUAGAUUUAUCAAUUAAAAGAGAUUCUUCCAGCUCUUCUCUAAGACUGAAAGCUCAAGACGCUGAAGCUCUAGAUGUUUCCUUUGGUCAUGCAUCACCUUCUGGGAGAACUAAGCCUACUAGCUUGCCUAUUAGCCAAAGUAGAGGAAGAAUACCAAUUGUGGCCCAGAAUUCUGAAGAGGAAAGUCCACUCAGUCCUGUUGGACAGCCAAUGGGAAUGGCCAGGGCUGCUGCUGGACCCCUGCCACCGAUAUCUGCAGACACCAGGGACCAGUUUGGAUCGAGUCACUCUUUGCCUGAAGUUCAGCAACACAUGAGAGAAGAAUCACGGACUCGAGGCUAUGACCGUGACAUAGCAUUCAUCAUGGAUGACUUCCAGCAUGCCAUGUCAGACAGUGAAGCCUAUCACCUCCGUCGUGAAGAAACAGAUUGGUUUGACAAACCCAGGGAGUCUCGUUUGGAAAAUGGACAUGGUCUAGAUCGAAAACUGCCAGAAAGAUUGGUCCACUCUAGACCACUCAGUCAACACCAAGAGCAAAUUAUACAGAUGGAUGGGAAAACUGUUCACUACAUCUUUCCACAUGCAAGGAUAAAAAUAACAAGAGACUCUAAGGAUCACACGGUUUCAGGUAACGGAUUAGGAAUUAGAAUUGUGGGUGGUAAAGAAAUCCCUGGAUAUAGCGGAGAAAUUGGAGCCUAUAUUGCCAAGAUUCUUCCUGGGGGAAGUGCCGAACAGACAGGGAAACUUGUGGAAGGCAUGCAAGUAUUGGAGUGGAAUGGAAUUCCUCUAACUUCUAAAACAUAUGAAGAAGUGCAGAGUAUCAUUAGUCAGCAAAAUGGGGAAGCAGAAAUAUGUGUAAGACUGGACCUCAAUAUGCUGUCAGAUUCUGAAAAUCCCCAGCACCUAGAACUCCGUGAACCACCAAAAGCUGUGGAUAAAGCGAAAUCCCCAGGGGUUGAUCCCAAGCAGUUGGCAGCAGAGCUCCAGAAGGUCUCACUACAGCAGUCACCACUGGUUCUGUCAUCUGUUGUUGAAAAGGGAUCUCACGUUCAUUCAGGUCCUACAUCAGCAGGAUCCAGUUCCGUUCCCAGUCCUGGGCAGCCAGGGUCACCCUCAGUGAGCAAAAAGAAACACAGCAGCAGCAAGCCUACUGAUGCAGCAAAGGUUGUCUCUCAUCCAAUUACGGGGGAAAUUCAGCUUCAAAUCAACUAUGAUCUUGGAAAUCUCAUAAUACAUAUCCUCCAAGCAAGAAACCUAGUCCCUCGAGACAACAAUGGUUAUUCAGACCCCUUUGUUAAAGUGUACCUUCUUCCAGGGCGAGGUGCUGAGUACAAGAGAAGGACUAAAUACGUUCAGAAAAGUCUUAAUCCUGAGUGGAAUCAAACAGUGAUUUAUAAAAGUAUCUCCAUGGAACAGCUCAAGAAGAAAACACUGGAGGUGACAGUCUGGGAUUAUGAUAGAUUUUCUUCCAAUGACUUUCUUGGUGAGGUACUGAUUGAUUUAUCUAGCACAUCUCACCUUGAUAACACGCCUAGGUGGUAUCCACUCAAAGAACAGACUGAAAGCAUUGAUCAUGGCAAGUCCCAUUCCAGUCAGAGCAGCCAGCAGUCCCCAAAGCCAUCUGUCAUCAAAAGCAGAAGCCAUGGUAUCUUCCCUGACCCAUCCAAGGACAUGCAGGUUCCCACCAUUGAGAAAUCCCAUAGUAGUCCCGGUAGCUCGAAAUCCUCAUCCGAAGGCCAUCUCCGCUCUCAUGGACCAUCUCGCAGUCAAAGCAAAACCAGCGUCACUCAGACCCACCUGGAAGAUGCGGGGGCGGCUAUAGCCGCUGCUGAAGCCGCUGUGCAACAACUCCGCCUUCAACCAACAGCACAUAAAAGCGGUCAGUCUAAUCAUGCCAGGAAGCAGCACAGACACAGCAUAGCAGGAGUCUUCCCCAUUCAAAGAACUCAGUCUGAUAAUCUGCCUCCACCAGCCAAUGGCAACCAAGACCAAAGCCAGCUAGCCCUCAGGAAGGUGAUGUCUGAUGGACCAGUCAAGCCAGAAGGAGCCAAGCCCACCAAUCACCGGCCUGCAGAAAGCUCCGUGUCCACUGGCUCCUCGGGCAGCAGCUUUGGCAGUGGGUAUAGCGUGGACAGUGAAGGAAGCAGCAGCGCUGCAGGGGAGACUAAUCUAUUUCCUAUUCCAAGGAUAGGAAAGAUGGGACAGAAUGGGCAAGAGCCUAUAAAACAGACAGGAGUAGGCAUAGGACUAGCAGACACUGAAGUUAAAACUCAGGUAAUGGGAGAAAUCAAGAUUGCAUUGAAGAAAGAAAUGAAGACAGAUGGGGAACAACUAAUAGUUGAAAUCCUACAGUGUAGAAAUAUUACCUACAAAUUUAAAUCUCCUGAUCACUUACCAGAUUUAUAUGUGAAACUAUAUGUGAUGAACAUAUCUACCCAAAAAAAGGUGAUCAAGAAAAAAACAAGAGUAUGUAGACAUGAUCGAGAGCCUUCAUUCAAUGAAACUUUUAGAUUCAGCCUAAGUCCUGCUGGACAUUCUCUUCAGGUAACUCAUACCGUUCCUAUUUUUAAAUUUUCACCUAUAUUGUAUUUAUUUCCUAUCUAA